AUUGAACGCUGGCGGCAGGCCUAACACAUGCAAGUCGAGCGAGCGGCGGACGGGUGAGUAAUGUAUGGGGAUCUGCCUGAUGGAGGGGGAUAACUACUGGAAACGGUAGCUAAUACCGCAUACCAUCAGAUGCACCCAUAUGGGAUUAGCUUGUAGGUGAGGUAACGGCUCACCUAGGCGACGAUCCCUAGCUGGUAUGAUAGGAUGAUCAGCCACACUGAGACUACGACACGGCCCAGACUCCUACGGGAGGCAGCAGUGGGGAAUAUUGCACAAUAGGGGCAAGCCUGCUGCAGCCAUGCCGCGUGGAUGAAGAAGGCCUUCGGGUUGUAGAGUACUUACAGUCGGGAGGCGUUACCGACAGAAGAAGCACCGGCUAACUCCAUGCCAGCAGCCGCAAUAAUUC
rnacentral:rRNA from 1 species